CCCAGGUUAAAGACUUUUGCUUUUGAUGUUUUUCAGGAACACAAAAAGCCCAACAGUAUCCAGAAGUGUAAACUGAGCACGGAAGAACAACAGGAGAUAUAGCUACAAUGAAUCUAGGCUUUGUUCUCUAACAAGGGUGGACCCCGCCAAUCAUACAAGCAAGCCUCUGUCCUGCCCUCUAUCCACACAAAGGGUACCAGAUUCUUUAAAAACAACCGGUGCUUUUAGUCUGUCUCAUGCCACAGGCCCAACAUGCAAUUCUUAAAGAUUCCAGAAAAUGAAAUAUAAAAAUACUUUAUACAUCUUAA